CUGGGCGCGCAGAGGGCGCAUUGUGCGGGAGCCCUGAAUGGAGCCGGGCUGCGUGCGGGCGGGCUCGGCCGGAUUAGCCUGCUUUCCCAUGAACUACAAAAGAAUGCUCGAAUCUGGGGCAUUUGUCAUCAAGGGGCAGGCUGCGCAGGAUGCAAGGACUACUCAAGAAUAGGUAAAUUAUGGAACCGGUACAGACAUCCAUCUACGGAGGACAGAGUCCAACAUUUGUUUCUCCAAGUACAGUGAGUUACAGAGCUAGCACGUAAUGUACCAAUAAUGAAAAUAACUCUGCGAACAGCAUGGAAGUAAGUUGGGGCUACUCCCGCCCACUCAGAGAUGGAUUUUAUGUGCAGAAGCCCAGUGGAAUAUAAAUGAACCUGCUGCAUCUGACAAAUGAGAGCUGAGAGGCAGAGGCUGCCCGCAAGAGGAAACAGGACACUUUCUUACUUCCCUGUCUGCACAGCGAGGCGUGGAUGACAGCGGGCCCUCCUUGUGGGACCGACUGUAAUAAAUGCCG